rnacentral:rRNA from 1 species
CCCUUAGAUGUCCGGGGCCGCACGCGCGCUACACUGAAGGAAUCAGCGUGGCUUUCUCCCUGACCCGAAAGGGUUGGGAAACCCGUUGAAUCUCCUUCGUGAUAGGGAUUGGGGCUUGAAAUUGUUCCCCAUGAACGAGGAAUUCCCAGUAAGCGCGAGUCAUAAGCUCGCGUUGAUUACGUCCCUGCCCUUUGUACACACCGCCCGUCGCUACUACCGAUUGAACGGUUUAGUGAGGGCCUCGGAUUGGUCUCGGCCCGCUCAUUACCGGGCGGCGCCGUUGGUCGAGAAGACGCUCGAACUUGAUCGUUUAGAGGAAGUAAAAGUCGUAACA